rnacentral:rRNA from 1 species
UGGGGGAUAUUGCACAAUGGGCGAAAGCCUGAUGCAGCGACGCCGCGUGGGGGAUGAAGGCUUUCGGGUUGUAAACCUCUUUCGCUAUCGAACAAGGCCCGCUUAGGGUGGGUUGAGGGUAGGUGGAGAAGAAGCGCCGGCUAACUACGUGCCAGCAGCCGCGGUAAUACGUAGGGCGCGAGCGUUGUCCGGAAUUAUUGGGCGUAAAGGGCUUGUAGGCGGCUUGUUGCGCCUGCUGUGAAAACGCGGGGCUUAUCUUCGCGCGUGCAGUGGGUACGGGCAGGCUUGAGUGUGGUAUGGGUGACUGGAAUUCCAGGUGUAGCGGUGGAAUGCGCAGAUAUCUGGAGGAACACCGAUGGCGAAGGCAGGUCACUGGGCCAUUACUGACGCUGAGGAGCGAAAGCAUGGGUAGCGAACAGG